GUGAGUGUAGCUCAGUUGGUAGAGCCCCGGACUGUGGAUCCGGCUGUCGAGGGUUCGAGCCCCUUCACUCACCCCA
rnacentral:tRNA from 1 species